rnacentral:tRNA from 1 species
GGGCACGUAGCUCAGGGGAUAGAGCACUAGAUUCCGGUUCUAGGUGUCGCAGGUUCGAUUCCUGCCGUGCUCG